rnacentral:rRNA from 1 species
UAACCUGGUUGAUCCUGCCAGUAGUCAUAUGCUUGUCUCAAGGAUUAAGCCAUGCAUGUCUAAGUAUAAAUAGUAUACAGUGAAACUGCGAAUGGCUCAUUAAAACAGUUAUAGUUUAUUUGAUAUUGGAACACUACAUGGAUAACCGUGGUAAUUCUACAGCUAAUACAUGCGAAAAAGCCUGACUCACGAAGGGCUGUAUUUAUUAGAUAUUAAGCCAAUAUUCCGCAAGGUCUAUUGUGGUGAAUCAUAGUAACUGAUCGAAUCCCUUUUAGGGAUAAAUCAUUCAAGUUUCUGCCCUAUCAGCUUUCGAUGGUAGUGUAUUGGACUACCAUGGCAGUCACGGGUAACGGAGAAUUAGGGUUCGGUUCCGGAGAGGGAGCCUGAGAAACGGCUACCACAUCUAAGGAAGGCAGCAGGCGCGUAAAUUACCCAAUCCUGAUUCAGGGAGGUAGUGACAAGAAAUAAUAAUCUGGGGACUUCGGUCUUACGGAAUUACAAUGAGAACAAUUUAAAUGACUUAUCGAGGAACAAUUGGAGGGCAAGUCUGGUGCCAGCAGCCGCGGUAAUUCCAGCUCCAAUAGCGUAUAUUAAAGUUGUUGCAGUUAAAAAGCUCGUAGUUGAACUUCUGUGCAGUCCCAAUUCUGGCUUCGGUCAAGUUGUGGAUUGUACAUCCGCUUGCAAAUCUAGUUCGGCAUUUACUUGUUGGCUAGGGGAGUAAGCUUUUUACUUUGAAAAAAUUAGAGUGUUUCAGGCAGGCAUUGUUUGUAUACAUUAGCAUGGAAUAAUGGAAUAGGACUUUUGUCCAUUUGAUUGGUUAUUGGACAUGAGUAAUGAUUAAAAGGGACAGCUGGGGGCAUUAGUACUUAAUUGUCAGAGGUGAAAUUCUUGGAUUUAUUAAAGACUAACUUAUGCGAAAGCAUUUGCCAAGGAUGUUUUCAUUAAUCAAGAACGAAAGUUAGGGGAUCAAAGACGAUCAGAUACCGUCCUAGUCUUACUAUAAACUAUACCGACUCGGAUCGGGCAGUCUUUCAACUUGCUCGGCGCGUAUGAGAAAAUCAAAGUCUUUUGGGUUCU